rnacentral:sRNA from 1 species
AUUCUGCCCAUGCGGGGGAGGAUGAGAAGCUUCGACCAAGGUUCGACUCGAGCGCCAGCGAGAGAGCGUUGCCGCAGGCAACGACCCGAAGGGCGAAGCGCGCAGCGCUGAGUAAUCCUUCCCCCACCACCA